UACGGGGGGGGCAAGCGUUGUUCGGAAUUACUGGGCGUAAAGGGCUCGUAGGUGGCCAACUAAGUCAGACGUGAAAUCCCUCGGCUUAACCGGGGAACUGCGUCUGAUACUGGAUGGCUUGAGUUUGGGAGAGGGAUGCGGAAUUCCAGGUGUAGCGGAUGAAAUGCGUAGAGAUCAUGAGGAAGACCAGUGCGGAAGGCGGGUCGCUGGACAGUUCCUGACACUGAGACACGAAGGCCAGGGGAGCAAACGGG
rnacentral:rRNA from 1 species